rnacentral:rRNA from 1 species
AGAGUUUGAUCAUGGCUCAGGACGAACGCUGACGGUGUGCUUUAGACAUGCAAGUCGAACGAGAAAGCCCUUCGGGGUGAGUACAGUGGCGAACGGGUGAGUAACACGUGGGUAACCUGCCCCUCGCAGGGGGACAACCGGGGGAAACCCCGGCUAAUACCCCGUACGCUCCGAGGUCCGCAUGGGCCACGGAGGAAAGGUAGCUUCGGCCAUCCGGCGAGGGAUGGGCCCGCGGUCCAUUAGCUAGUUGGUGGGGUAACGGCUCACCAAGGCGACGAUGGAUAGCUGGUCUGAGAGGAUGAUCAGCCACACUGGGACUGAGACACGGCCCAGACUCCUACGGGAGGCAGCAGUCGGGAAUCUUGCGCAAUGGGCGAAAGCCUGACGCAGCAACACCGUGUGAGCGACGAAGGCCUUCGGGUCGUAAAGCUCUGUUGUUGGGGACGAAGGGUUAGGGGUUAAUAGCCCCGAGCCUGACGGUACCCUUCGAGGAAGCCCCGGCUAACUACGUGCCAGCAGCCGCGGUAAUACGUAGGGGGCGAGCGUUGUCCGGAAUUAUUGGGCGUAAAGAGCGUGUAGGCGGUUCGGUAAGUCUGCCGUGAAAACCUGAGGCUCAACCUCGGGCGUGCGGUGGAUACUGCCGGGCUAGAGGACGGUAGAGGCGAGUGGAAUUCCCGGUGUAGCGGUGAAAUGCGCAGAUAUCGGGAGGAACACCAGUGGCGAAAGCGACUCUCUGGACGGUAACUGACGCUGAGGCACGAAAGCGUGGGGAGCAAACAGGAUUAGAUACCCCGGUAGUCC